rnacentral:snRNA from 22 species
AUACUUACCUUGUUCGAUGAGUCGGGUGAUCAAGAAGACCUGACCAUAGGGUGGGAAGCCUGCAUUGCACACCGUGGCGCUACCCGUCUUGGUUUGUCCUUCGGGGCCGACCCGGGCGCAAUUUUUGCUAUCAAACCCAUUUUU